GAUGAACGCUGGCGGCGUGCCUAAUACAUGCAAGUCGAACGCUUCACAUCGGUGAAGAGUGGCGAACGGGUGAGUAAUACAUAAGUAACCUGGCAUCUACAGGGGGAUAACUGAUGGAAACGUCAGCUAAGACCGCAUAGGUGUAGAGAUCGCAUGAACUCUAUAUGAAAAGUGCUACGGGACUGGUAGAUGAUGGACUUAUGGCGCAUUAGCUUGUUGGUAGGGUAACGGCCUACCAAGGCGACGAUGCGUAGCCGACCUGAGAGGGUGACCGGCCACACUGGGACUGAGACACGGCCCAGACUCCUACGGGAGGCAGCAGUAGGGAAUUUUCGGCAAUGGGGGAAACCCUGACCGAGCAACGCCGCGUGAAGGAAGAAGUAAUUCGUUAUGUAAACUUCUGUCAUAGAGGAAGAACGGUGGAUAUAGGGAAUGAUAUCCAAGUGACGGUACUC
rnacentral:rRNA from 1 species